rnacentral:rRNA from 1 species
UACGUAGGGUGCGAGCGUUGUCCGGAAUUACUGGGCGUAAAGAGCUCGUAGGUGGUUUGUCGCGUUGUUCGUGAAAUCUCACGGCUUAACUGUGAGCGUGCGGGCGAUACGGGCAGACUAGAGUACUGCAGGGGAGACCGGAAUUCCUGGUGUAGCGGUGGAAUGCGCAGAUAUCAGGAGGAACACCGGUGGCGAAGGCGGGUCUCUGGGCAGUAACUGACGCUGAGGAGCGAAAGCGUGGGGAGCGAACAGGAUUAGAUACCCUGGUAGUCCACGCCGUAAACGGUGGGUACUAGGUGUGGGUUUCCUUCCUUGGGAUCCGUGCCGUAGCUAACGCAUUAAGUACCCCGCCUGGGGAGUACGGCCGCAAGGCUAAAACUC